rnacentral:tRNA from 1 species
UAGGAAGUGGUGUAGUGGGAGCACUGGGAGUUUUGAUCUCUCUAGGUAGGGUUCGAACCCCUUCUUUCUAA